GAUGAACGCUGGCGGCGUGCCUAAUACAUGCAAGUCGAGCGAAUGGAUUAAGAGCUUGCUCUUAUGAAGUUAGCGGCGGACGGGUGAGUAACACGUGGGUAACCUGCCCAUAAGACUGGGAUAACUCCGGGAAACCGGGGCUAAUACCGGAUAACAUUUUGAACCGCAUGGUUCGAAAUUGAAAGGCGGCUUCGGCUGUCACUUAUGGAUGGACCCGCGUCGCAUUAGCUAGUUGGUGAGGUAACGGCUCACCAAGGCAACGAUGCGUAGCCGACCUGAGAGGGUGGUCGGCCACACUGGGACUGAGACACGGACCAGACUCCUACGGGAGGCAGCAGUGGGGAAUAUUGCACAAUGGGCGCAAGCCUGAUGCAGCAACGCCGCGUGAGGGAUGACGGCCUUCGGGUUGUAAAACUCUGUUGUUAGGGAAGAACAAGUGCUAGUUGAAUAAGCUGGCACCUUGACGGUACCUAACCAGAAAGCCACGGCUAACUACGUGCCAGCAGCCGCAGUAA
rnacentral:rRNA from 1 species